UUUGGAGCUUUUAAAAGAAUCCAUUUACCUCAAGGGCCAUUGGCCUACUUCAAUGCUUCAAAUAGCUGCCUGUGGAAAGUGCACAACCUCCUAAUCCCAACAACAGAUAUGAGUGUGUGUGUGUGUGUAUGGGUGCAGGUGUGUCUGAACACUUGUUUACAGGCGCCUUCAGGCCUGGUGGGUGUGGCCCUGCUAGGUGACUGGCCACACCCGAAGCCACACACCUGCUGCUGAUCAGGGCUCGUCGGGGGAGCUACUUAGGAGAGUCUUGGAGCUCCCACCGACGCGGGAUCAUUGAGUUAGACUCCCAAGAGGAGCGUGGAGAGGAAGGACAGCAUGCACAGGGUGUGCAGAGUCACGACAGCGGGGAGCACGAACACGGACGCCACUGGAAGACACACACGGGAGUCUUGGGGAGCACGAGGAUUAAUUGUGCAUCGAUAUUUACCACACUGUAAAUAAACGCACUGCUUAU